rnacentral:rRNA from 1 species
AUACGGAGGAUGCGAGCGUUAUCCGGAUUUAUUGGGUUUAAAGGGUGCGUAGGCGGACGAUUAAGUCAGCUGUGAAAUGCCCGCGCUUAACGCGGGAAGUGCAGUUGAUACUGGUUGUCUGGAGUGCCGUUGCCGUGGGGGGAAUGUGUAGUGUAGCGGUGAAAUGCAUAGAUAUUACACAGAACGCCGAUUGUGAAGACACCUCACGAAGCGGUAACUGACGCUGAGGCACGAAAGCGUGGGGAUCGAACAGGAUUAGAUACCCUGGUAGUCCGCACAGUAAACGAUGAAUACUCGCUGUUUGCGAUACACUGUAAGCGGCCAAGCGAAAGCGUUAAGUAUUCCACCUGGGGAGUACGCCGGCAACGGUGAAACUCAAAGGAAUUGGCGGGG